UACGGGGGGGGCAAGCGUUGUUCGGAAUUACUGGGCGUAAAGGGCGCGUAGGCGGCCUGCUAAGUCGGACGUGAAAUCCCUCGGCUCAACCGAGGAACUGCGUCCGAUACUGGUGGGCUUGAAUCCGGGAGAGGGAUGUGGAAUUCCAGGUGUAGCGGUGAAAUGCGUAGAUAUCUGGAGGAACACCGGUGGCGAAGGCGGCAUCCUGGACCGGUAUUGACGCUGAGGCGCGAAAGCCAGGGGAGCAAACGGG
rnacentral:rRNA from 1 species